rnacentral:rRNA from 1 species
GACGAACGCUGGCGGCGCGCUUAACACAUGCAAGUCGAGCGAGAACCAGACCUUCGGGUCUGGGGACAGCGGCGAACGGGUGAGUAACACGUGGGUAAUCAACCCUCGGUACUGGGAUAGCCCGGGGAAACCCGGAUUAAUACCGGAUGGCCCCUCGGAUCUUCGGUUCUGAAGGAAAAGGUAGCUUCGGCCUCCGACCGAGGACGAGCCCGCGGCGGAUUAGCUUGUUGGUGGGGUAACGGCCUACCAAGGCGACGAUCCGUAGCUGGUCUGAGAGGACGAUCAGCCACACUGGGACUGAGACACGGCCCAGACUCCUACGGGAGGCAGCAGUGGGGAAUCUUGCGCUAAUGCGGGAAACCGUGACGCAGCGACGCCGCGUGGGGGAAGAAGGCCUUCGGGUUGUAAACCUCUUUCAGGAGGGACGAAGCUACUCGGGUUAAUAGCCCAGAGAGUGACGGUACCUCCAGAAGAAGCCCCGGCUAACUACGUGCCAGCCGCCGCCGUAACAC